CUAGGCCCACUGCUCGUUGUUGUACCGUCCACAAUAUGGGUUGUGAGAUCGGUGGUUGGGUGUGUACUUAAAGUUGUGGAUGCUGUGGUAGUUGUGGGUGCUGUGGUAGUUGUGGGUGCUGGGGUAGUUGUGGGUGCUGGGGUAGUUGUGGGUGCUGUGGUAGUUGUGGGUGCUGUGGUAGUUGUGGGUGCUGUGGUAGUUGUGGGUGCUGUGGUAGUUGUGGAUGCUGUGGUAGUUGUGGGUGCUGUGGUAGUUGUGGUAGUUGUGGGUGCUGUGGUAGUUGUGGGUGCUGUGGUAGUUGUGGGUGCUGUGGUAGUUGUGGGUGCUGUGGUAGUUGUGGGUGCUGUGGUAGUUGUGGGUGCUGUGGUAGUUGUGGGUGCUGUGGUAGUUGUGGGUGCUGUGGUAGUUGUGGAUGCUGUGGUAGUUGUGGGUGUGUACGUACUGACAUUUGUGGGUGUGGUUGUGAGUUCAGUAGUUUUUUGGGUGGUAGUUGGAAGUGCAGGUGCAAUCUGUGUGGUCGUGAGGUUUGUUGUCAGAAGAGGGGGGGUUGUUGGCUCCACUGAUGUUGGGAGAUUUAUUGUCAGCGGAGGGGAGGUUGUUGGUUCCUCUGUUGUUGUGAUGUUUAUUGUCAGAGGAGGGGAGGUUGUUGGUUCCGCUGUGGUUGUGAGGUUUAUUGUCAGAGGAGGGGAGGUUGUUGGUUCCUCUGUUGUUGUGAUGUUUAUUGUCAGAGGAGGGGAGGUUGUUGGUUCCGCUGUGGUUGUGAGGUUUAUUGUCAGAGGAGGGGAGGUUGUUGGUUCCUCUGUGGUCGUGAGGUUUGUUGUCAGAGGAGGGGAGGGUGUUGGUUCCUCUGUGGUCGUGAGGUUUGUUGUCAGAGGAGGGGAGGUUGUUGGUUCCUCUGUGGUUGUGAGGUUUAUUGUCAGAGGAGGGGAGGUUGUUUGUUCCUCUGUUGUUGUGAGGUUUAUUGCCGGAGGAGGGGAGGUUGUUGGUUCCUCUGUGGUUCUGAUGG
ensembl:lncRNA